UACGGGGGGAGCAAGCGUUGUUCGGAUUUACUGGGCGUAAAGGGCGCGUAGGCGGUCGUGACAAGUCACUUGUGAAAUCUCCGGGCUUAACUCGGAACGGUCAAGUGAUACUGUCGGACUAGAGUACAGAAGGGGCAACUGGAAUUCUCGGUGUAGCGGUGAAAUGCGUAGAUAUCGAGAGGAACACCUGCGGCGAAGGCGGGUUGCUGGGCUGAUACUGACGCUGAGGCGCGCAAGCCAGGGGAGCGAACGGG
rnacentral:rRNA from 1 species